rnacentral:rRNA from 1 species
CCUACGGGAGGCAGCAGUGGGGAAUUUUGCACAAUGGGGGAAACCCUGAUGCAGCGACGCCGCGUGAGUGAAGAAGUAAUUCGUUUUGUAAAGCUCUAUCAGCAGGGAAGAAAAUGACGGUUCCUGAGUAAGAAGCCCCGGCUAACUACGUGCCAGCAGCCGCGGUAUUACGUAGGGGGCAAGCGUGCUCCGGAUUUACUGGGUGUAACGGGAGCGUAGACGGGAGUGCAAGUCUGGCGUGAAAGGCGGGGGCUCAACCCCCGGACUGCUCUGGAAACUGGACGGCUGGAGUGCAGGAGAGGAGAGUGGAAUUCCAAGUGUAGCGGUGAAAUGCGUAGAUAUUAGGAGGAACACCAGUGGCGAAGGCGGCUUACUGGACUGUAACUGACGUUGAGGCUCGAAAGCGUGGGGAGCAAACAGGAUUAGAUACCCGAGUAGUC